GAUGAACGCUAGCGGCAGGCUUAACACAUGCAAGUCGAGGGGUAUAGUAGCAAUACUAGAGACCGGCGCACGGGUGCGUAACGCGUAUGCAACCUACCUUGAACAGGGGAAUAGCCCAGAGAAAUUUGGAUUAAUGCCCCAUAGCGUAUUGAGUUGGCAUCAGCACAAUACUAAAGUCACAACGGUUCAAGAUGGGCAUGCGUCCCAUUAGUUAGUUGGUAAGGUAACGGCUUACCAAGACGAUGAUGGGUAGGGGUCCUGAGAGGGAGAUCCCCCACACUGGUACUGAGACACGGUCCAGACUCCUACGGGAGGCAGCAGUGGGGAAUCUUGCGCAAUGGGCGAAAGCCUGACGCAGCGACGCCGCGUGGGUGAUGAAGGCCUUCGGGUUGUAAGCCCUGUGGGAGGAACGAACCGUACGGGGCGAACGACCCUCCGUACCUGACGGUACCUCCUUAGCAAGCAUCGGCUAACUCUGUGCCAGCAGCCGCGGUAAUGUAGUCG
rnacentral:rRNA from 1 species